GAUGAACGCUGGCGGCGUGCCUAAUACAUGCAAGUCGAGCGAACAGACGAGAAGCUUGCUCCUCUGACGUUAGCGGCGGACGGGUGAGUAACACGUGGAUAACCUACCUAUAAGACUGGGAUAACUUCGGGAAACCGGAGCUAAUACCGGAUAAUAUUUUGAACCGCAUGGUUCAAUAGUGAAAGACGGUUUUGCUGUCACUUAUAGAUGGAUCCGCGCUGCAUUAGCUAGUUGGUAAGGUAACGGCUUACCAAGGCAACGAUGCAUAGCCGACCUGAGAGGGUGAUCGGCCACACUGGAACUGAGACACGGUCCAGACUCCUACGGGAGGCAGCAGUAGGGAAUCUUCCGCAAUGGGCGAAAGCCUGACGGAGCAACGCCGCGUGAGUGAUGAAGGUCUUCGGAUCGUAAAACUCUGUUAUUAGGGAAGAACAAAUGUGUAAGUAACUAUGCACGUCUUGACGGUACCUAAUCAGAAAGCCACGGCUAACUACGUG
rnacentral:rRNA from 1 species